rnacentral:rRNA from 1 species
GACGAACGCUGGUGGCGUGCUUAACACAUGCAAGUCGAACGGAAAGGCCCUGCUUUUGUGGGGUGCUCGAGUGGCGAACGGGUGAGUAACACGUGAGUAACCUGCCCUUGACUUUGGGAUAACUUCAGGAAACUGGGGCUAAUACCGGAUAGGAGCUCCUGCUGCAUGGUGGGGGUUGGAAAGUUUCGGCGGUUGGGGAUGGACUCGCGGCUUAUCAGCUUGUUGGUGGGGUAGUGGCUUACCAAGGCUUUGACGGGUAGCCGGCCUGAGAGGGUGACCGGCCACAUUGGGACUGAGAUACGGCCCAGACUCCUACGGGAGGCAGAAGUGGGGAAUAUUGCAAAAUGGGCGGAAGCCUGAUGCAGCAACGCCGCGUGCGGGAUGACGGCCUUCGGGUUGUAAACCGCUUUCGCCUGUGACGAAGCGUGAGUGACGGUAAUGGGUAAAGAAGCACCGGCUAACUACGUG